AGAGUUUGAUCCUGGCUCAGAUUGAACGCUGGCGGCAUGCCUAACACAUGCAAGUCGAACGGAAACGAUGCUAGCUUGCUAGCAGGCGUCGAGUGGCGGACGGGUGAGUAAUGUAUAGGGAUCUGCCUAGUAGUGGGGGACAACAUGUGGAAACGCAUGCUAAUACCGCAUACGCUCUACGGAGGAAAGUGGGGGACCUUUCGGGGCCUCAUGCUACUAGAUGAACCUAUAUUGGAUUAGCUUGUUGGUAAGGUAAUGGCUUACCAAGGCGACGAUCCAUAGCUGGUUUGAGAGAAUGAUCAGCCACACUGGGACUGAGACACGGCCCAGACUCCUACGGGAGGCAGCAGUGGGGAAUAUUGCACAAUGGAGGAAACUCUGAUGCAGCAAUGCCGCGUGUGUGAAGAAGGCCUUAGGGUUGUAAAGCACUUUCAGACGUGAGGAAAAGUAAUAAUUUAAUAAAUUAUUACCUUGACGUUAACGUCAGAAGAAGGACCGGCUAACUCCGUGCCAGCAGCCGCGGUAAUACGGAGGGUCCAAGCGUUAAUCGGAAUUACUGGGCGUAAAGCGCGCGUAGGCGGAUAUUUAAGUCAGAUGUGAAAUCCCUGGGCUCAACCUAGGAACUGCAUUUGAUACUGGAUAUCUAGAGUAUGGUAGAGGUGAGUGGAAUUUCAGGUGUAGCGGUGAAAUGCGUAGAGAUCUGAAGGAACAUCAGUGGCGAAGGCGACUCACUGGGCCAUUACUGACGCUGAGGUGCGAAAGCGUGGGUAGCAAACAGGAUUAGAUACCCUGGUAGUCCACGCCCUAAACGAUGUCAACUAGGUGUAUGGGAGUUUAACUCCUGUGUAUCGAAGCUAACGCGAUAAGUUGACCGCCUGGGGAGUACGGUCGCAAGACUAAAACUCAAUGAAUUGACGGGGGCCCGCACAAGCGGUGGAGCAUGUGGUUUAAUUCGAUGCACGCGAAGAACCUUACCUGGUCUUGACAUGUAGUGACUUUC
rnacentral:rRNA from 1 species